AGUGAACGCUGGCGGUAGGCCUAACACAUGCAAGUCGAACGGCAGCACAGUAAGAGCUUGCUCUUACGGGUGGCGAGUGGCGGACGGGUGAGGAAUACAUCGGAAUCUACUUUUUCGUGGGGGAUAACGUAGGGAAACUUACGCUAAUACCGCAUACGACCUACGGGUGAAAGCAGGGGAUCUUCGGACCUUGCGCGAUUGAAUGAGCCGAUGUCGGAUUAGCUAGUUGGCGGGGUAAAGGCCCACCAAGGCGACGAUCCGUAGCUGGUCUGAGAGGAUGUUCAGCCACACUGGAACUGAGACACGGUCCAGACUCCUACGGGAGGCAGCAGUGGGGAAUAUUGGACAAUGGGCGCAAGCCUGAUCCAGCCAUACCGCGUGGGUGAAGAAGGCCUUCGGGUUGUAAAGCCCUUUUGUUGGGAAAGAAAAGCAGCAGGUUAAUACCCCGCUGUUCUGACGGUACCCAAAGAAUAAGCACCAGCUAACUUCGUG
rnacentral:rRNA from 1 species